CCUACGGGUGGCAGCAGUGAGGAAUAUUGGUCAAUGGACGAGAGUCUGAACCAGCCAAGUAGCGUGAAGGAUGACUGCCCUAUGGGUUGUAAACUUCUUUUAUAUGGGAAUAAAAUGUGCCACGUGUGGGAUUUUGUAUGUACCAUAUGAAUAAGGAUCGGCUAACUCCGUGCCAGCAGCCGCGGUAAUACGGAGGAUCCGAGCGUUAUCCGGAUUUAUUGGGUUUAAAGGGAGCGUAGGUGGAUUGUUAAGUCAGUUGUGAAAGUUUGCGGCUCAACCGUAAAAUUGCAGUUGAAACUGGCAGUCUUGAGUACAGUAGAGGUGGGCGGAAUUCGUGGUGUAGCGGUGAAAUGCUUAGAUAUCACGAAGAACUCCGAUUGCGAAGGCAGUUCACUGGACUGCAACUGACACUGAGGCUCGAAAGUGUGGGUAUCAAACAGGAUUAGAUACCCGAGUAGUC
rnacentral:rRNA from 1 species